UACGAAGGGGGGCUAGCGUUGCUCGGAAUCACUGGGCGUAAAGCGCACGUAGGCGGCUUUCUAAGUCAGGGGUGAAAUCCUGGAGCUCAACUCCAGAACUGCCUUUGAUACUGGAGAGCUUGAGUCCGGGAGAGGUGAGUGGAACUCCGAGUGUAGAGGUGAAAUUCGUAGAUAUCUGGAGGAACACCGGUGGCGAAGGCGGCAUCCUGGACCGGUAUUGACGCUGAGGCGCGAAAGCCAGGGGAGCAA
rnacentral:rRNA from 1 species